rnacentral:rRNA from 1 species
UACGAAGGGGGCGAGCGUUGUUCGGAUUUACUGGGCGUAAAGCGUGCGUAGGCGGUUUCUUAAGUCUGUUGUGAAAGCCCUGGGCUCAACCUGGGAACUGCGAUGGAUACUGAGAAGCUGGAGUACGGUAGAGGAAGGUGGAACUGCGAGUGUAGAGGUGAAAUGCGCAGAUAUCAGGAGGAACACCGGUGGCGAAGGCGGGUCUCUGGGCCGGAACUGACGCUAAGGAGCGAAAGCGUGGGGAGCAAACAGG